rnacentral:rRNA from 1 species
UACGUAGGGGGCGAGCGUUGUCCGGAAUCAUUGGGCGUAAAGCGCGUGUAGGCGGCCCGGUAAGUCCGCUGUGAAAGUCCAGGCUCAACCCUGGGAUGCCGGUGGAUACUGUCGGGCUCGAGUCCGGAAGAGGCGAGUGGAAUUCCUGGUGUAGCGGUGAAAUGCGCAGAUAUCAGGAGGAACACCAAUGGCGAAGGCAGCUCGCUGGGACGGUACUGACGCUGAGGCGCGAAAGCGUGGGGAGCAAACAGG